GACGAACGCUGGCGGCGUGCUUAACACAUGCAAGUCGAACGGAAAGGCCCUGCUUUUGUGGGGUGCUCGAGUGGCGAACGGGUGAGUAACACGUGAGUAACCUGCCCUUGACUUUGGGAUAACUUCAGGAAACUGGGGCUAAUACCGGAUAGGAGCUCCUGCUGCAUGGUGGGGGUUGGAAAGUUUCGGCGGUUGGGGAUGGACUCGCGGCUUAUCAGCUUGUUGGUGGGGUAGUGGCUUACCAAGGCUUUGACGGGUAGCCGGCCUGAGAGGGUGACCGGCCACAUUGGGACUGAGAUACGGCCCAGACUCCUACGGGAGGCAGCAGUGGGGAAUAUUGCACAAUGGGCGGAAGCCUGAUGCAGCAACGCCGCGUGCGGGAUAACGGCCUUCGGGUUGUAAACCGCUUUCGCCUGUGACGAAGCGUGAGUGACGGUAAUGGGUAAAGAAGCACCGGCUAGCUACGUG
rnacentral:rRNA from 1 species